rnacentral:rRNA from 1 species
AGUGAACGCUGGCGGUAGGCCUAACACAUGCAAGUCGAACGGCAGCACAGUAAGAGCUUGCUCUUACGGGUGGCGAGUGGCGGACGGGUGAGGAAUACAUCGGAAUCUACUUUUUCGUGGGGGAUAACGUAGGGAAACUUACGCUAAUACCGCAUACGACCUACGGGUGAAAGCAGGGGAUCUUCGGACCUUGCGCGAUUGAAUGAGCCGAUGUCGGAUUAGCUAGUUGGCGGGGUAAAGGCCCACCAAGGCGACGAUCCGCAGCUGGUCUGAGAGGAUGAUCAGCCACACUGGAGCUGAGACACGGUCCAGACUCCUACGGGAGGCAGCAGUGGGGAAUAUUGGACAAUGGGCGCAAGCCUGAUCCAGCCAUACCGCGUGGGUGAAGAAGGCCUUCGGGUUGUAAAGCCCUUUUGUUGGGAAAGAAAAGCAGCAGGUUAAUACCCCGCUGUUCUGACGGUACCCAAAGAAUAAGCACCGGCUAACUUCGUG